rnacentral:rRNA from 1 species
UACGUAGGGUGCGAGCGUUAAUCGGAAUUACUGGGCGUAAAGCGUGCGCAGGCGGUUAUAUAAGAAAGAGGGGAAAUCCCCGGGCUCAACCUGGGAACUGCCUUUGUGACUGUAUAGCUUGAGUGCGGCAGAGGGGGAUGGAAUUCCGCGUGUAGCAGUGAAAUGCGUAGAUAUGCGGAGGAACACCGAUGGCGAAGGCAAUCCCCUGGGCCUGCACUGACGCUCAUGCACGAAAGCGUGGGGAGCAAACAGG